rnacentral:rRNA from 1 species
GACAUGCAAGUCGAACGGGAUUAUUUUUGUAGCAAUACAGAAAUAAUUCAGUGGCGAACGGGUGCGUAACACGUGGGCAAUCUGCCGAAAAGUGGGGGAUAGCUCGCCGAAAGGCGAAUUAAUACCGCAUGUGGUGAGGGACGACAUCUUCCUGAAUCCAAAGCCGGGGCAACCUGGCGCUUUUUGAGGAGCCCGCGGCCUAUCAGCUAGUUGGCGGGGUAACGGCCCACCAAGGCUAUGACGGGUAGCUGGUCUGAGAGGACGACCAGACACACUGGAACUGAGACACGGUCCAGACACCUACGGGUGGCAGCAGUCGAGAAUUUUUCUCAAUGGGGGAAACCCUGAAGGAGCGACGCCGCGUGGAGGAUGAAGGCUUUCGGGUUGUAAACUCCUGUCAUUUGAGAACAAGGUGCGAGUAUUAACUGUCCUCGCAUUGAUAGUAUCAGAAGAGGAAGGGACGGCUAACUCUGUGCCGGCAGCCGCGGUAAUACAGAGGUCCCAAGCGUUGUUCGGAUUCAUUGGGCGUAAAGGGUGCGUAGGUGGCGCCGUAAGUCGGGUGUGAAAUUUCGGAGCUUAACUCCGAAACUGCAUUCGAUACUGCGGUGCUUGAGGACUGGAGAGGAGACUGGAAUUUAUGGUGUAGCAGGUAAAUGC